AACCACAUGCCAGGGACGUGAGGACAGCCAUGGACGCACUUCAGCAGGACACCUUGGCUUCUGGCGCUCUCCCUGUGCCAAUUAGCAGUGAAGAAUCCUUCUGCUGAAAUAAUCCGAUUAUGAGGCACUGAAUAGCAGCCACAGACUGUCACAAUCAAAUCCUCAUCUGCAGAGAAAAGAAAAUCAACCCUCUUAGCAUCCUAGGGGUUGGCCUCCUGGAACAUAAGGCAUCUUCCUCUGACAGACAUGCUUCUGAGCCUUUGAGCUCAUGGCUCCUUGGAGACCAUCCCUGGACUCCUGGCCCCACUGUUUGCGAACUGGAGAUGGGCACUUGCUGUCCGCCUCUGCACUGAUUGAAUCAGGAGCCGCUGCAGCUGCCGACCCUUAGCACCCCCGAAAGGAGCUCAGGUGGAGACCAGGAGUGAGGCCGUCUGUGCUCUGGGAGAACUGGCAGGACAGAUCUCCAGAGAGUUAGAUAUUUUCAGGAGAAGAUUUUAUGAGCCUAAUUCUUGCAUCUCCUUGUAUCUGGAAAAGCACCAACAUCCUUCACAGUGACGCUGGCUCCUGGUGCCUAGCAGUGACCUUCAUGAGACUAGCAGCGACCUUCUGCAAAAUGUGUGUCUGGCUGCAUG